UUGCAAAUAAACAUAAAUAUCGUAGAAGCCCACGAAUAAAAACAUGUAUUUGUGUCAUAAAUGAAACGGCGCCAAACUAGCAGAUUACAAUAAUAAUGGCUGUUUCCUUCAAUUAGACUAGUACUAAUGUUGUGAACUGUAGCUGAUAACUAAGAUAAGAUGAUGUUGAUAAGUGUUGAAGGAAAUAUUUUGCUCCAAUUAAGGAGCACUAUGAGAUUUCUGCCUUCGAAAAUAUAGAUCACCUUCACCAGUCAUUGCUUUGUUUAGUCCCUCGUGAUCCUGUAUAAUGGCCUAUGAGUAUGAAUUUGGAGAUAAGAUGUUGAUGCUUAUGAGAUUUGUGCAUGAUGGGAUGAUUGAAGAAGAUACACCUGAAUCUUGCUGAUCCAAAACCUAGUACCAUGAUGCUGGACUAAGAACAUGCCCAAUCUCGUUUUCUUUCUCGUUCUAUUCGAGUGGUUCUCGUUUUACCAUUUCUUCUUGGCAAUUGAGUUUUUCAUGUAUUUGGAGCACUAGUGAUUAGUGAGACAAAAAACUGCAGCAUGGACAUGAUCAGCAGAGCUUCUGUUCACAACAGUAUGUGAUUGCUGACUUCUCUCAACAUUUAUAUGCAGCAUUCAACUGUCAUUUGAAUCAAAUGAAGGAAUAAUGAUAUUAAUAUCAUCAAUGAACUGCUGCUAAAUAUAGUUUCACUCA